GCCACGGUAGCCAAGUUCGGAAAAGGCGGAGCACUCAAGAUGCUCUCCCGUAGGGGUCCACAGGUUCAAAUCCUGUCCGUGGCAC
rnacentral:tRNA from 1 species